UACAGGGGGUGCAAACGUUGCUCGGAAUUAUUGGGCGUAAAGCGCGCGUAGGCGGCUACUUAAGUCGGAUGUGAAAGCCCCAGGCUUAACCUGGGAACUGCGUCUGAUACUGGGAGGCUUGGAUUCGGGAGAGGGAUGUGGAAUUCCAGGUGUAGCGGUGAAAUGCGUAGAUAUCGGGAGGAACACCUGUGGCGAAGGCGGCCCCCUGGUUGGAUACUGACGCUGAUACGCGAAAGCGUGGGGAGCAAACAGG
rnacentral:rRNA from 1 species